rnacentral:rRNA from 1 species
GACGAACGCUGGCGGCGUGCUUAACACAUGCAAGUCGAACGGAAAGGCCCUGCUUUUGUGGGGUGCUCGAGUGGCGAACGGGUGAGUAACACGCGGGUAACCUGCCCUUGACUUUGGGAUAACUUCAGGAAACUGGGGCUAAUACCGGAUAGGAGCUCCUGCUGCAUGGUGGGGGUUGGAAAGUUUCGGCGGUUGGGGAUGGACUCGCGGCUUAUCAGCUUGUUGGUGGGGUAGUGGCUUACCAAGGCUUUGACGGGUAGCCGGCCUGAGAGGGUGACCGGCCACAUUGGGACUGAGAUACGGCCCAGACUCCUACGGGAGGCAGCGGUGGGGAAUAUUGCACAAUGGGCGGAAGCCUGAUGCAGCAACGCCGCGUGCGGGAUGACGGCCUUCGGGUUGUAAACCGCUUUCGCCUGUGACGAAGCGUGAGUGACGGUAAUGGGUAAAGAAGCACCGGCUAACUACGUG